GCCCCAGUAGCUCAGUGAUAGAGCUCCCGUAUGUGGUGAGCGAAAGCACCUAGCAAUAACUACUAUGUAGGAGGUCGCAGGUUCGAAUCCUGCACGGCCGCU